UAAAAAAAAAGUAGGAAGAAAGAGAAGAACGAGACGUGAUAAUACCUUUUCAGAAUCGAGACGCUUCGCUCCAUUUUCAAUCAUCGUCAACGCAUCAUUGGCCAUGACACACUUCGUCUUCUGAACCGCACAACACGAGUCGGAGAAGCGAUAGAAAAGUGGAAAAAGGGCAAAGGGGAAGAGCAAGAGCAGAGGUUGAAGAACGGAAAGGCUUGAAGCUCAAAGAUUUGCCGGAUUAACUCAGGUAACGAGCAGUGAGUGAGUAGAAGCUAGUGCCUGGAGUCUAGUGUAGUCUACGUAGUGGGUCGUGCUCUGAUAGAUGUAACAUCGGGACGGGAUGUUUUAAUUGUUUAUUGUUGAUUGUUGAACCUUUUUACCUGUAAACCAUUAUAUGUUUUGAUUGGUUGGUUGAUUUCUA